CAGGUGGCGGAGCUGCUUGAAGCCUCCUUCACUCCUCACCCUGGAUGUUUACCCGCAUGCAGGUGGCUGCAGGCUCUCAGAGCUCCCACUGCUGCUGACAGAUGACGUUUAAUUAAAGGGAGGUGGGUCCGGUCCUGUCAAACCGCAUCAAAGCCCGCCGAGCCCCAGCCCAAAAACACAGCUCCUCUUGUCCAAGAGCAUCACCUCACGGGGUGUGACUGCAUUCCCUGCAGGGACAGCUGCUGCGCUGCGCCCUGGGGCCGGUCCAACAUCCACCGAAUGGAAAACUCCCAUCGACAUCCAUCAAUCCAAGAUUAGAAAGGGUUUUAUAAAGCCCGCACUACCUCGGGGAUGAAUGAUAAAAUACAACCCUUCUCAAAAUUUACAUUUUAAAGAAAUCCAAUUUUCCACGCCCCAUAAAUCCCAGCACUGUGUGUGGUUAUGGGACACACCGGGCACAGCCGUGGCUCUGCGAACCCUCCUGGUCCCAUCCUUCUCAUUUGGAUCUCACUAUGAAAAGGCACUCAUUGUGUUCUUAGUACAGUGCCGAACCACCUUCCCUCCCCUCAUCCUAAGGAAAACCUUUAAUAAACACUCCAGAUUAAAAAGAAAUGCUCAUCUUCUCACUGAGGUUUCCAACACAGCUUCUGCACUGCUCUACCUCCGGAGUUUGCGCUUCUCAUCUCACACGUGUCUGUAAUGACAGGAACCAAACAACGCAAACAAAGGGGAUCUGCAGAGCUUCACAGCUCUCCUCUUAGGCACGUCCCAUUAAACACUCAAGGUUUGCUUUCCUUAUGUUUAUCUGCAGGAGAACAAUUUUAAAUGCGAGGAUCUGAUUGUGUUGCCAUUUGCCAUGGCUGUUGGCUCCAAAGGGUCUGCUUGGUGGGAAGAGCACCUCCGUGGCGCUGAUGUGGCUCUGAGGGAUGUGUCCACAGGUGGUGGGUUGGGGAUCUGAGCACUCCUUCCCAACCUUAACAGCUCAGUGAUUCUCAGAGGUGUGCUAACUGAUCAAUGCGCUAACCCUGAUCAAUGCGCUAACCCCGAUCACCUGCACUCCUGUGCCACACUGCAGCUUUUUCCUCUUCUUUCAUCAGAUAAAACCAAUAAUCUGUGAUGAGCUUUACAGACACACAGAAAAGUCAAACCGUGCAACAAAAGACCCCGUGUGCUGCAAAGGAAUCCCCCCUGACCUCCCUGCAGAGCCUCCCCCCAUUAACAAGGAAAGCAGCGCCGUCGUUUGUUCCGAUCAUUUGAUUUUAAAAGGGAAGAAAAAAGAUGACCUCAAGAACUCCAACAAGCUCACAACACGUGCACAUCCUGAUAGGAACUUAUUAGCUGAUCUUAAAGCCAGACUCUGAGCUCCUCAAAGCAAGAUGGAAAGCAACUCCAACUGCUCGAAGGCAGCCGUGUUUUGGGGUUGCUGCUGACCCCAUCCAUACAAGGCUGCUUCUGACCCUGUACCACAGCCAGGCACAGGGAACCCAGCAGAACAGCUGCUCUCCCAUUUCUGUGCAGAAAAUCUCCUCUGAAGGACACCAGGUGAGAGUGAAGAGCUGAAGCUCUCCCUUGCUGUAGGGCAUUAGUGAUAAACCGGGGGAAUUUGAGGCUCCUGUGCUGUCUGAUCGGCUCGACCCCAAGCAAGGAAGCAGGUCCUGUACUAAGCUUGGGGAAGGGGGGGGGGGAAGCCCAGGAAAAGGAUUAAGGUGCUAAACCCACUGCUAAAACCUGCACUGAAGGCAGCUCGAGGCUGAUCUGUCACCCUGUUGCAUGUAUUUGAAGUAAAUCUACAGCACGCCUCUGUAAUAAGGCCACACAGGCAGAGGGCAAUGGGAACGUGUAAAGUUCAUGCUCAGCAGCUACAGAACCUCACAGCUCCUGUCCCAGUGAGAGCACGUGGGGGCCACCUCAUAGCUUGGGGCAAGGAGAGAUGGGUUCCCUGCAGAGCCCCAGGGGCAGAAUGUGGGGUCCUGGCACUGCAGGGUGAGGCCUCAGCAGGCAGCGCAGCUCCAUGGGGCUUUUUUUUGCUCAUCUUUGCAGCUCACAAAUCCAGACGCAGCAGAACUGGCAGCUUCAAGAUGAAGGUCCUCCACAAACGCCGUUUCCAUCGAUUCCCCACCGGUGCUCUCAAAACUCUGUGCUGCCUGAAAGCCCAGCGCCUAAGACAUGAAUGCAGAAUCAUUACCCGAUGCAGAGCUCGAAGGCUUGGAGAUAAAUAUCCUGCUAUUUAAGCUGCACUUUUACCUUGAAAAGCAAUUUGCAAGCCCGCAGAGCAGCACUGACAAGCCUCACGGAGCCGCGUGCAGAGAGGCUGCGGUGCCACGCUCUCACCCUGGGACUCGGGGCACAUCAAUCUCCUCUCCCUUCAUCAUCACCAGAGCUUAAGACAGGUUCGAGGAAGGUGGAGACACCAAAGAGAACAGGCAAAGCACCGCAAGCAAGUCUUUCCCGGAGAGUUUGGAUCAGGCUCUGAAUUAUGGGGAAUCACAGAAUCAUGAAGGAUGGAAAAGCC
ensembl:lncRNA